GUGAUCACAGCCCCAUAGUUUCACGUCUAGGACAUGACUCCAUCAAGAGCGGGGAUGAGGAGUGCUCAUUUGGCAUAAACGGUGUCUCUACGGGCGAGGAACCCACUGACCUCCCUAAACACUUGUGGGGCAGGCGUCCCCACACCCAAGGGCGGGACUGGGGGGGACACCGAAAAAGAGCGGAGGCAGCUAACCACGCGGACCACCGCUCCCAGACCCAAUCUUCUUCCUAGCAUCUGCCCUACACAUCUCGCGUCCCGACAGAGGGACUGGCAUUCGGGACCCAACCUUGGGUAGCCCCAGAUCCCGACUCUCGCAGGAGUAGAGGAAGGGCGGAGGGUUCGCGCUGAGGGGCAGCU
rnacentral:lncRNA from 1 species